GCGGGAAUAGCUCAGUUGGUAGAGCGCAACCUUGCCAAGGUUGAGGUCGCGAGUUCGAGCCUAGUUUCCCGCUCCA
rnacentral:tRNA from 1 species